rnacentral:rRNA from 2 species
AUGCAUGUCUAAGUACAGCUCGGUGGAGCAAUCUACCGGGCGAAACCGCGGACGGCUCAUUAAAUCAGUCGUGGUCUACAUGGGCUAAAGUUACCUUUUGGAUAACUGUGGAAAAUCCAGAGCUAAUACAUGCAAUUUUCGAGUCCUGAGCUAAAGCCUGGUAGUUGUCUCGUAUGAUUAUCAGGUGAGUAACUCGGGAUGCUUUUAUUAGACCGAGGCGCGCGUAUGCUCGGUUUAGCCUUUUGAUUUCUUUGAUUUCGAUUGGCGGCCGUUUGUGUGUCGUGUGUAAGCGCUUAAUGGUGAACCCUGGAUAACACUUGAUGAGCGUGCUUUUAUGGCACGCCGCCUUCUUACGAGUGACUGCCCUAUCAGCUAGUAACGUAUGUUAUACGCGAACGCUGGCUAUAACGGGUAACGGGGAAUCAGAGUUCGAUUCCGGAGAGGCAGCCUGAGAAACGGCUACCACG